rnacentral:lncRNA from 10 species
UUAGGCUCCCAACUAACUGGAACUACAGGUGCACGCCACUACACCCAGCUAAUUUUUAUAUUUUAUGGAGAGACGUGGUUUCUCCAUGUUGCCUAGACUGGUCUCUGAACUCCUGGGCUGAAGCCAUCCUCUAGCCUCAGCCUCCCAAAGUGCUGGAAUUAUAGGCCUGAGCCACCAUGCCCAACCUGAAGUUCUUUUUAUUUUUUUAAGUGACAGGGUCUUGCUAUAUUGCCCAGGUUGGAUUUGAACUCCUGGGCUCAAGUGAUCCUUCCACCUCAUUAAUUUUCUUUUUCUAGAGACAAGGUUUCACUCUGUCGCUCAGACUGGAGCGCAGUGGUAUGAUCAUAGCUCACUGCAGCCUCAAACUCCUGGGAUCAGUCGAUCCUCUUGCCUCAGUCUCCUGAGUAGCUGUGACUAUAGGCACACACCACCUCAUCUGGCUAAUUUUAAGUUUUUCUUCUUGCCCAGGCUGAUCUCGAACUCCUGAGCUCAAGCGAUCCUCCUGUCUUGGCCUCCCAAAGUGCUGGGAUUACAGGCGCGAGCCACUGCAACUGGCCCAUUAAAUUUUUAACCCCGUACUUGACGGAUCAGCUGACACUACCCAGACCAGUAAUCUGGCUCAACCAGUCCUGCGAUCCCACCCAGGAACAGAAGACAGCAAGAAAACCUCACUUCAACACUCCCGUCGAUGACUCCAUCGACCUCAGGAAGCUCCAACCAAUCAGCACUCCCCACUUCCUGAGCCCCUACCCGCCAAAUUAUCUUUCAAAACUCGGAUCCCCUAAUGCUCAGCGGAGACUGAUUUGAGCAAUAAUAAAACUCUGGUCUCCUGCAUAGCUGGCUCUGUGUGAAAUACUCUUUCUCCACUGCAAUUCCCCUGUCUUGAUAAAUCUGUCUAGGAAGACAGGCAAGGUGAACCCAUUGGGUGGUUACACACUGACCAGCCGGAUUUAGGGA